CACACGCUCCUUAGAUCCACCUCUGGGGAAUCAAUCAGCUUUGGUGCUGCUGCUCUCUUGAGUUUUGCAGCUCCAGGGUGGAGGCUCCCAGCAGCUUUUCCGUCUGUACAGUUGGAGAUGUUUGAGUCGUUUGUGUGGGAGUGCAGUCUGCCUGCUCCUAUAGUCCAGUUCCUUCCACAGUAUGGACUUCACCAGGGUAGACAAG